GCGGCUGGAGCCGGCCAAGCGGGCAGCCCACAACGUCCACAAGCGGCUGCAGGCCUGUCUGCAGGGCCAGAGCGGGGCAGACAUGGACAAGCGGGUGAAGAAGCUUCCCCUCAUGGCUCUGUCCACCACGAUGGCUGAGAGCUUCAAGGAGCUGGACCCUGAUUCCAGCAUGGGGCCUUGGAGAUGAGCUGUGCCAUCCAGAAUCAGCUGGCCCGCAUCCUGGCCGAGUUUGAGAUGACCCUGGAGAGGGACGUCCUGCAGCCACUCAGCAGGCUGAGUGAGGAGGAGCUGCCAGCCAUCCUCAAGCACAAGAAAAGCCUCCAGAAGCUCGUGUCCGACUGGAACACACUCAAGAGCAGGCUCAGUCAGGCAACCAAGAAUUCAGGCAGCAGUCAAGGCCUGGGAGGCGGCCCGGGCAGUCACAGCCAUACGACCAUGGCCAACAAGGUGGAGACGCUGAAGGAGGAGGAGGAGGAGCUGAAGAGGAAAGUGGAGCAAUGCAGGGACGAGUACUUGGCUGACCUGUACCACUUUGUUACCAAGGAGGACUCCUAUGCCAACUACUUCAUUCAUCUCCUGGAGAUUCAGGCCGAUUACCAUCGCAGGUCACUGAGCUCGCUGGACACAGCCCUGGCUGAGCUGAGGGAGAACCACGGCCAAGCAGACCACUCCCCCUCGAUGACAGCCACCCACUUCCCCAGGGUGUAUGGGGUGUCGCUGGCAACCCACCUGCAAGAGCUGGGCCGGGAGAUUGCCCUGCCCAUCGAGGCCUGCGUCAUGAUGCUGCUUUCUGAGGGCAUGAAGGAAGAGGGUCUCUUCCGUCUGGCUGCUGGGGCCUCGGUGCUGAAGCGUCUCAAGCAGACAAUGGCCUCGGACCCCCACAGCCUGGAGGAGUUCUGCUCCGACCCGCACGCCAUGGCAGGUGCCCUCAAGUCCUAUCUGCGGGA
rnacentral:sRNA from 1 species